CCACUGACUUCACCAAGUCAUUGAAUUGGAUUAGAGACAAACUAGUUGAAAAGGCACCUAAUUCAGUCGAACUGAUUUAAUGAUUUGAGAAUAAGAGAAAAGAUCAAUCAGUAAGUCAUAAAUCCUCCGACUGACUUCAUCAAAUCAUGAAGAGGACUAGAAACAAGUCUAGUCCAGAAGUACUUAAAUCAAUCAUACUGAUUUACUUUAAUGACAUGGGUUAGCUCGAAUCAAUUAGUGACAUAAUCAAAAUAUAAUCUACCAUAUUGACCAGAUAA
rnacentral:lncRNA from 1 species